UACGUAGGGUGCAAGCGUUAAUCGGAAUUACUGGGCGUAAAGCGCGUGUAGGCGGCCCGAUAAGUCCGCUGUGAAAGUCCAGGGCUCAACCCCGGGCCUGCAGUCGAUACGGGCAGACUAGAGUGCGGUAGGGGAGACUGGAAUUCCUGGUGUAGCGGUGAAAUGCGCAGAUAUCAGGAGGAACACCGGUGGCGAAGGCGGGGCUCUGGGCCGUAACUGACGCUGAGGAGCGAAAGCGUGGGGAGCGAACAGG
rnacentral:rRNA from 1 species